GCUCUCGUAGUGAAGAGGAGAUCACACGCGCUUCCGAAGCCCGGAUCCCUGGUUCGACUCCAGGCGAGAGCG
rnacentral:tRNA from 1 species